rnacentral:tRNA from 1 species
GUGGUCGUAGCUCAGUGGCAGAGUGUUCCGUUGUGACCGGGAAGAUAUCGGUUCGAUUCCGUUCGACCACCCCA